GAGGGUAUAGCUCAUUGGUAGAGCACAUGCCCAGCAUGCAUGAGGUCCUGGGUUCAAUUCCCAGUGCCUCCA
rnacentral:tRNA from 1 species